GACGAACGCUGGCGGCGUGCUUAACACAUGCAAGUCGAACGGAAAGGCCCCUUCGGGGGUACUCGAGUGGCGAACGGGUGAGUAACACGUGGGCAACCUGCCCUCAGCUUCGGGAUAACACUUGGAAACAGGUGCUAAUACCGGAUAAUAACUUGUCAUCGCAUGGUGGUGGGUUCAAAGUUUUUCGGCUGAGGAUGGGCCCGCGGCCUAUCAGCUUGUUGGUGGGGUAAUGGCCUACCAAGGCGACGACGGGUAGCCGGCCUGAGAGGGCGACCGGCCACACUGGGACUGAGACACGGCCCAGACUCCUACGGGAGGCAGCAGUGGGGAAUUUUGCGCAAUGGGGGAAACCCCGACGCAGCAACGCCGCGUGGAGGAUGAAAUCCCUUGGGAUGUAAACUCCUUUCGAUCGGGAAGAUAAUGACGGUACCGAGAGAAGAAGCCCCGGCUAACUUCGUGCCAGCCGCCGCAGU
rnacentral:rRNA from 1 species